CGCCGAACACAGGGGAGCGCCACCGGGGCGCUGAGAGUGCGGGAGGCCGCAGACCCUCAAACCUGAUCCGGUUAGCACCGGCGUAGGGAGUUGGGAAUUCUCCUCGG
rnacentral:ncRNA from 1 species